rnacentral:rRNA from 1 species
CGGGGUGCACCAGGCGCGAAAACUUUACAAUGCGGGAAACCGUGAUAAGGGGACACCGAGUGCCAGCAUCAUAUGCUGGCUGUCCAGGUGUGUAAAAUACACCUGUUAGCAAGGGCCGGGCAAGACCGGUGCCAGCCGCCGCGGUAACACCGGCGGCCCGAGUGGUGAUCGUGAUUAUUGGGUCUAAAGGGUCCGUAGCCGGUUUGGUCAGUCCUCCGGGAAAUCUGAUAGCUUAACUAUUAGGCUUUCGGGGGAUACUGCCAGGCUUGGAACCGGGAGAGGUAAGAGGUACUACAGGGGUAGGAGUGAAAUCUUGUAAUCCCUGUGGGACCACCUGUGGCGAAGGCGUCUUACCAGAACGGGUUCGACGGUGAGGGACGAAAGCUGGGGGCACGAACCGGAUUAGAUACCCGGGUAGUCCCAGCCGUAAACGAUGCUCGCUAGGUGUCAGGCAUGGCGCGACCGUGUCUGGUGCCGCAGGGAAGCCGUGAAGCGAGCCACCUGGGAAGUACGGCCGCAAGGCUGAAACUUAAAGGAAUUGGCGGGGG